rnacentral:rRNA from 1 species
CCCUCAAGGACAAGCUGUGAUGGGGAGCGAAAUUUAGUAGCGAAGUUCCUGAUGUCACACUGCCAAGAAAAGCUUCUAGUGAGAAAGUAACUGCCCGUACCGCAAACCGACACAGGUAGUUGAGGAGAGAAUCCUAAGGUGUGCGAGAGAACUCUCGUUAAGGAACUCGGCAAAAUGACCCCGUAACUUCGGGAGAAGGGGUGCUGACCGCAAGGUCAGCCGCAGUGAAUAGGCCCAAGCGACUGCUUAUCAAAAACACAGGUCUCUGCAAAAUCGAAAGAUGACGUAUAGGGGCUGACGCCUGCCCGGUGCUGGAAGGUUAAGAGGAGAGGUUAGCGCAAGCGAAGCUUUGAAUUGAAGCCCCAGUAAACGGCGGCCGUAACUAUAACGGUCCUAAGGUAGCGAAAUUCCUUGUCGGGUAAGUUCCGACCCGCACGAAAGGCGUAACGAUUUGGGCACUGUCUCAACGAGAGACUCGGUGAAAUCAUAGUACCAGUGAAUAUGCUGGUUACCCGCGACAGGACGGAAAGACCCCAUGGAGCUUUACUGCAGUUUGAUAUUGCGUGUUUGUAUCACAUGUACAGGAUAGGUAGGAGCCGAAGAUACCGGGACGCCAGUCUCGGAGGAGGCAACGGUGGGAUACUACCCUUGUGAUAUGACCACUCUAACCCGCUGCUCUUAGCGAGCAGGGAGACAGUGUCAGACGGGCAGUUUGACUGGGGCGGUCGCCUCCAAAAAUGUAACGGAGGCGCCCAAAGGUUCCCUCAGAAUGGUUGGAAAUCAUUCGUAGAGUGUAAAGGCAGAAGGGAGCUUGACUGCGAGACCUACAUGUCGAGCAGGGACGAAAGUCGGGCUUAGUGAUCCGGUGGUUCCGCAUGGAAGGGCCAUCGCUCAACGGAUAAAAGCUACCCUGGGGAUAACAGGCUUAUCUCCCCCAAGAGUUCACAUCGACGGGGAGGUUUGGCACCUCGAUGUCGGCUCAUCGCAUCCUGGGGCUGUAGUCGGUCCCAAGGGUUGGGCUGUUCGCCCAUUAAAGCGGUACGCGAGCUGGGUUCAGAACGUCGUGAGACAGUUCGGUUCCUAUCCGUCGCGGGCGUUGGAAAUUUGAGAGGAGCUGUCCUUAGUACGAGAGGACCGGGAUGGACACACCGCUGGUGUACCAGUUGUUCUGCCAAGAGCAUCGCUGGGUAGCUAUGUGUGGACGGGAUAAACGCUGAAAGCAUCUAAGCGUGAAGCCCCCCUCAAGAUGAGAUUUCCCAUCACUUCAAGUGAGUAAGACCCCUGAAAGAUGAUCAGGUAGAUAGGUUGGGAGUGGAAGUACAGCGAUGUAUGGAGCGGACCAAUACUAAUCGGUCGAGGACUUAACC